rnacentral:rRNA from 1 species
AGUAACACGUGAGUAACCUGCCCCCUUCUUCUGGAUAACCGCAUGAAAGUGUGGCUAAUACGGGAUAUUCUGCGCCUGCUGCAUGGUGGGUGUGGGAAAGAUAUUGUUUCGGUGGGGGAUGGGCUCGCGGCCUAUCAGCUUGUUGGUGGGGUGAUGGCCUACCAAGGCGGUGACUGGUAGCCGGCCUGAGAGGGUGGACGGUCACACUGGGACUGAGACACGGCCCAG